CCCAGCAAAGAGCAGCACACAGCUGAAAGAAAAACUCAGAAGACAGAGCUGAAAAAGAAAACUGGUGAUGGAUCUCAUUCCAAACUUUGCCAUGGAAACAUGGGUUCUCGUGGCUACCAGCCUGGUACUCCUCUAUAUCUCUGUCUGAUCUGGAGCUUGUGGCCCAGUCAAUUAUCAUCACUUUUGCUGCCUAUGACACAACUAGCACCACUCUCCCCUUCAUUAUGUAUGAACUGGCCACUCACCCUGAUGUCCAGCAGAAACUGCAGGAGGAGAUUGACGCAGUUUUACCCAAUAAGGCACCUGUCACCUAUGAUGCCCUGGUACAGAUGGAAUACCUUGACAUGGUGGUGAAUGAAACGCUCAGAUUAUUCCCAGUUGUUAGUAGAGUUACGACAGUCUGCAAGAAAGAUAUUGAAAUCAAUGGAGUCUUAAUUCCCAAAGGGUUAGCAGUGAUGGUUCCAAUCUAUGCUCUUCACCAUGACCCAAAGUACUGGACAGAGCCUGAGAAGUUCUGCCCUGAAAGAUCCCACUGAAAUUAGACAAUCUACCAAUUCUUCAACCAGAAAAACCUAUUGUUCUAAAAGUGCACUUAAGAGAUGGGAUUACAAGUGGACCCUGACUUUCCCUAAGAGCUUCCACUUUGUUCAAGAAAGCUGUAUCCCA
rnacentral:sRNA from 1 species